ACUGGCGAAGAUCAUGGAAGAACUGACAUUAAUCGAUGCAGAAAACAACAAAGAAUACAAAAUUACAGUGUCAAAGGAAGAUGCUGCGAGAACAAAAAGAGAUCAUAUAUUUGCAUAUAUACUCUCUAUUGCAACAAGCAAAAAAAUAUGCAGCUGGAGAAAUAAAAGAUAUUAUAGAUUCAGAAACAGAUGACACAACUAAUUGCAGCACUGCAAGUAAUUUAGAUAUGAGUGAAACUUCA